CUCUCGCUCGCGUUACGUUAAUUGAGAUUUAAGGGCCGCAUAUCAUGAACAAUUAGGACGUACAAAAUUAACACUUUUUUUGCUGACUUUUCUUUUCUUUUGUCGCAUUAUACGUCUGCACUCAUCCAUAAAAGUAUAUGCAUAGGCCUGUACGAGUAUAAUCUAAUGAAAUUUCUCAAGAAAAAAGAGAAAAAAAAAAAAAUAAUUUUAAAUGAACGAAAAUUAAAUGGACGAUCCUCACAGCGUGGUAUAAGUCCGACUUAUAGCAUGUACAGCAA
rnacentral:misc_RNA from 1 species